rnacentral:rRNA from 1 species
CCCUUAGAUGUUCUGGGCCGCACGCGUGCUACACUGAGUGGAUCAGCGGGUCAGGUUGCGCGAAAGCGUUUCCUAAUCUUUAAAUCCGCUCGUGAUGGGGAUUGACGGUUGCAAUUUUCUGUCAUGAACGAGGAAUACCUUGUAAGCGCGGGUCAUCAUCCCGCGCUGAAUACGUCCCUGCCCUUUGUACACACCGCCCGUCGCUCCUACCGAUUGAGUGGUCCGGUGAAGCCUCGAGAUUGUGGCCAGCUCGCUUUAUUGGGAGUUGGUUGCGAGAACUUGUCUAAACCUUAUCAUUUAGAGGAAGGUGAAGUCGUAACA